CAAAUGUGGUUCACGGCUGACUGGUUGGCCUUGGCAGUGACUGAGAAAGUCAAUAUUUAAAAAGCAAUUUUUUUCCCCUCUGGCAAGAAGUGAUGUCAGUGUUGGAAGGAGGGAGGCAUGACAGGCUGGAUGGAACCUGCUUUUGUGAUAUGUGAGAUGUUCUCGAUGUGAAAUCGCUUGAUGAUUUUGUGAUUAAACCCCACGACUGCCUGUUUCUGAUUUUGCUCUGGAGCUCACUGAUAGCUCUGGAACUUGGGAUUUCUGAACACAUGGCCUUCAUCAUUGGGAAAGACUCAGUCUUACUAUGGAAUAUCUUGUGCUGCUUUACAGGAAGGAAUGAUACCAAAUAGAAGAUUGCAAAUGGACAAAGAAUGAAGAACAGAAAUGUUUUGCCCACUGAAGAUAUGAAAAGUCCAGGAAGUCCAAUGACAACAAGCCUAUCUAGCACCCGAAUUGUGGUUUCUAAAUAUCAAAAGAAAUCAAGACUCCUUGGAGAAGUAACUUAUUCCAGGUCUGGGACAAGAAAUCUACAAUUCUGGGAUGUUUCGUGCCUGAAAACAAGGGAGCUAUGAAAAACUAAUGAGUCAUGAUCAAAGGGACACAAGAGCCAACAUGAAGGAACCUCCUUGGCUAGAGAUGGGAAAGUUUUAGCACCAAAAAUACUAGUGAAUUCUGUUUAUUGAAGUACAUUAAAUAUAUAAAAACACAUGAUUCUGUGAUAUGCAAAAAAUGAAAAAAGCCCCAAAAGCCAACAAACAAAAACACCUUAUUAGACACCAUUGGAAUGAAGUAGGACAAUAGCUCUUUACUCUAACAGCUGUCGAUUAUAGGGAAAGAUUAACCAUUUACUUGUAUUUCCUGUAUGAAAUAUAUAUUGGGGUUAUCAAAUAGCUCAGGCGAUGCAUGAAAGUUUUUCAUUAUGUAAAAAUUUCAUAUAAGCAUGUAAGGAAUAAUGCAAUUAGAAAGUCACCAUUUUCAAUCUCUAAUAAGACUAGGUAAUCAUUAAUGAUAAUACCGUUAGAUGAAAUUUCAAUGGGAAACUUUACAAAGGAGGAAUCAGAAUAUUAUCUCUCAAACCCACUGAUCAGUCUUAGAAUCAGACUUUGUGCCUCCUGACAUGAUACAGUUACAAAGUACUGGCUAAAAUCUAUAGAGUAUUAUUGUCAAGGAGUUAAACCAGAAUCUAAACAAAUCUUAAAACUAACUUCGAUAUGGAGGAAAUAUGAGGGAUGAAUGAACAGGCAAUUGACACUACAAGGAAGUAAACAGACAUAUCCCCAAUAUUGGAUCUUCUACAGGACAAUAGAGGAAAAAGAAAGAGGGAGAGAAAGAGGAGUAGGAGGACAAAAUAGGACAGGGAGGAGGGAGAAAAGGAGAGAGAGAGAGAGAAAGAGAAAGAAAGAAACAAACAAAUAGUGGGAAAUAAUCAAAGCUAUAGUAAAAGAAAAUUUUUCCUAAACUGAAGAAAAGCUCAAGUGCUCACAUCCAUCAGGAGUCAACACAUCAAGCAAACCAAGCAAAAAAAGUGAUUUUUUUUUUUUUGGUGUGUAUGUGUGAACUCAACAAGCUUGGUUAUGAAUCUGUGUGUCUAAUAGCCAACAAAGAGGGAAUCCACAUUUCUUUCAAAUAGCCCUUAAAAGUUUACUAUUACAUAACUGACCAUUGAUCACAAAGAAUAUGUUGACUUGACUGAUUGAUUUUCUUAGUGGUAAUAUUUUUUGAUUUGCAAAUUUAUCUUAAAUUGAAUUCUCUCUCCCUAUGUCCUCCCCCACUGCCCCCUGACAAUCCCAGGUGUCCGUUCCAAAAACAUGACUUAUACUGGUGGCUCUGGGCUCCUAACUUGUGUUGAUAUUGGAGAUAAAUAAAAUCCACUCACCAAAACUCAUGGUAUCUUGGCUGUGUUUUCUUUCUCCUCCCCAAAUUUACUUGGCUAUUCCUCACACUAUUCUAGAAGAAUUCUAUACUGAUUUUCAAGUUGCAUAAACUAUCCCACUGGCAUGUCUCUGGAAUUGCUUUGAUUUGUAUAAAGAUAAUUGAGAUAACUAAUAUGUUUACAAUAUUAAAUAGUCUCAUCUAGGAACAAAGGAUAUAUCUAAACAAUUUGGUCUUCUUUCAUGUCAAUCAAUAAAAUUAGAUUUUUUGCCCCA
rnacentral:lncRNA from 10 species